AUGAAAUGAAUGUCGAGAAGGGUUGUAGCUGGCCUCCCAAGGCAUGUGCACGCCUUGAUCGUGCAUCCACAUCUCACACCUGUGCACAACCUGUAGCUUGGGAUGAUCACAAUGUUGGAAACGGCAUUGAAAGCCCUCGCUAUGAAUUUUUACACACACAUAUAAAAGUCAUAGAACGUUCAAUGUUAUAGCGUGUAACAGCGCGAAUAAAUAUAUA
rnacentral:misc_RNA from 1 species